rnacentral:rRNA from 1 species
GACGAACGCUGGCGGCGUGCUUAACACGUGCAAGUCGAACGGAAAGGCCCUGCUUUUGUGGGGUGCUCGAGUGGCGAACGGGUGAGUAACACGUGAGUAACCUGCCCUUGACUUUGGGAUAACUUCAGGAAACUGGGGCUAAUACCGGAUAGGGGCUCCUGCUGCAUGGUGGGGGUUGGAAAGUUUCGGCGGUUGGGGAUGGACUCGCGGCUUAUCAGCUUGUUGGUGGGGUAGUGGCUUACCAAGGCUUUGACGGGUAGCCGGCCUGAGAGGGUGACCGGCCACAUUGGGACUGAGAUACGGCCCAGACUCCUACGGGAGGCAGCAGUGGGGAAUAUUGCACAAUGGGCGGAAGCCUGAUGCAGCAACGCCGCGUACGGGAUGACGGCCUUCGGGUUGUAAACCGCUUUCGCCUGUGACGAAGCGUGAGUGACGGUAAUGGGUAAAGAAGCACCGGCUAACUACGUG